ensembl:snRNA U2 U2 spliceosomal RNA
AUUGCUUCCUGGCCUUUUGGCUAAGAUCAAGUGUAGUAUCUGUUCUUAUCAGUUUAAAUGGUGAAAUUAAUUUACAAACUAGUAAAAUAAGGAUAUGUUUUAAAAAAUUAAACCUCAC